AUUGAACGCUGGCGGCAGGCCUAACACAUGCAAGUCGAGCGAGCGGCGGACGGGUGAGUAAUGCCUGGGAAUGGCCCAGUCGAGGGGGAUAACAGCUGGAAACGACUGCUAACACCGCAUACGAUUGGAUUGCCCAGGUGGUAAUAGCUAGUUGGUGAGGUAGUGGCUCACGAAGGCGACGAUCCCUAGCUGGUCUGAGAGGAUGGUGAGCAACACGAGCACUGAGACACGGUCCAGAAUCCUACGGGAGGCAGCAGUGGGGAAUAUUGCACAAUGGGGGAAACCCUGAUGCAGCCAUGCCGCGUGUGUGAAGAAGGCCUUCGGGUUGUAAAGCACGUUCAGCGAGGAGGCGUUACUCGCAGAAGAAGCACCGGCUAACUCCGUGCCAGCAGCCGCGGUAAUUC
rnacentral:rRNA from 1 species